GUGCUCGCUUCAGCAGCACAGAUCCUAAAAUUGGGACAAUACAAAGAUUACCGUGGUCCCUGCACAAGGAUGACAUGCAAAUUCCACAUUUUGCUUUCUUUU
ensembl:snRNA U6 U6 spliceosomal RNA